rnacentral:rRNA from 1 species
CUUUCUUUGCUGGCGACCGGCGCACGGGUGAGUAACACGUAUCCAACCUGCCCUUUACUCGGGGAUAGCCUUUCGAAAGAAAGAUUAAUACCCGAUGGCAUAAUGAUUCCGCAUGGUUUCAUUAUUAAAGGAUUCCGGUAAAGGAUGGGGAUGCGUUCCAUUAGGUUGUUGGUGAGGUAACGGCCCACCAAGCCUUCGAUGGAUAGGGGUUCUGAGAGGAAGGUCCCCCACAUUGGAACUGAGACACGGUCCAA